rnacentral:rRNA from 1 species
AUUGAACGCUGGCGGCAGGCCUAACACAUGCAAGUCGAACGAGUGGCGGACGGGUGAGUAAUGUCUGGGAAACUGCCUGAUGGAGGGGGAUAACUACUGGAAACGGUAGCUAAUACCGCAUACCAUGGGAUGUGCCCAGAUGGGAUUAGCUAGUAGGUGGGGUAAAGGCUAACCUAGGCGACGAUCCCUAGCUGGUCUGAGAGGAUGACCAGCAACACUGGAACUGAGACACGGUCCAGACUCCUACGGGAGGCAGCAGUGGGGAAUAUUGCACAAUGGGGGCAAGCCUGAUGCAGCCAUGCCGCGUGUAUGAAGAAGGCCUUCGGGUUGUAAAGUACUUUCAGCGGGAAGGCGUUACCCGCAGAAGAAGCACCGGCUAACUACGUGCCAGCCGCCGCGGUAAUAC